GAGUUUGAUCGUGGCUCAGGAUGAACGCUGGCGGCGUGCCUAAUACAUGCAAGUCGAGCGAACGGACGAGAAGCUUGCUUCUCUGAUGUUAGCGGCGGACGGGUGAGUAACACGUGGGUAACCUACCUAUAAGACUGGGAUAACUCCGGGAAACCGGGGCUAAUACCGGAUAACACAUGAAACCGCAUGGUUUCAUGAUGAAAGACGGUCUUGCUGUCACUUAUAGAUGGAUCCGCGCUGCAUUAGCUAGUUGGUAAGGUAACGGCUUACCAAGGCAACGAUGCAUAGCCGACCUGAGAGGGUGAUCGGCCACACUGGAACUGAGACACGGUCAAGACUCCUACGGGAGGCAGCAGUAGGGAAUCUUCCGCAAUGGGCGAAAGCCUGACGGAGCAACGCCGCGUGAGUGAUGAAGGUCUUCGGAUCGUAAAACUCUGUUAUUAGGGAGAACAUAUGUGUAAGUAACUGUGCACAUCUUGACGGUACCUAAUCAGAAAG
rnacentral:rRNA from 1 species